GGUCGGGUCCCAUGCAAGCGACGUACGCGAACCGGGUCAGAUUCGGAAGAAAGCAGCCCUAAGCGACUGCGGCGCUGUGCGUGGCAAACCCGGCCACC
rnacentral:SRP_RNA from 1 species